rnacentral:rRNA from 1 species
CGGAGGAUCCAAGCGUUAUCCGGAAUUACUGGGCGUAAAGAGUUGCGUAGGUGGCCGUUUAAGUCUCUGUUUAAAUACCAAGGCUCAACUUUGGGAGAGGCAGGGAAACUGAAUGGCUUGAGCAUAGUAGAGGUACCUGGAAUUCCCAGUGUAGGAGUGAAAUCCGUAGAUAUUGGGAGGAACACCGAUGGCGUAGGCAGGGUACUGGGCUAUUGCUGACACUAAGGCACGAAAGCGUGGGGAGCGAACGGGAUUAGAUACCCCGGUAGUCCACGCCCUAAACGAUGCAUGCUAGCUGUUAUCAGUAUCGACCCUGGUAGUAGCGAAGCUAACGCGUUAAGCAUGCCGCCUGGGGAGUACGAACGCAAGUUUA